rnacentral:lncRNA from 1 species
AAAAUUGCACAUAUAUAGAGAAAAGUAAAGUUUAAACACCGAUAGGGGGUCCUAGUUUGGUUAGCCUAAAGGAUCACCCCAUACAAUGCCCGGUAAUCACUCCUCAAUGAGGGGCUAUACAUCACAUUAGCGCAUAGUCAACAUAUCCUUACUAUCCAUUUCCCUCCCCUUGGUCAUAGCCUAACGCGUUCUAAUAACCGUGAUAUAUGUCCUAUGCAUUCAUUACCCGUCCCUUCCUUGUGACCCUGGAGGUAUUUAAGACCUCUAAUUUAGGUAGUUCUAGAACUUCCUAAGGUUUUAAAGGAUAAAAGUCUAGUUGCCAAUCAAAAACAAUGAGCACUACAUUUAGAAAGAACAAAUUACAAGCUCACAGUCACCUCCACAAAUAUAACAAGUAAGUGCAUGUCAUCAAACAACAGUCAAGUAUUUACGAGAAAAUUCUAGAACAUGAUAUCUAAGUGAGCAUGGAUUAUAAAUCAUUCAAUUAGGACCAAGCAUCAAAGAUCUAUUUAGAUUUCCUACUGAUUUUUGACAUGUGAAUGUGAACAGUCUCGAAUAACAAGACACAGUUUUAUAGUUGUAGGAUUUUAAUUGCCCUAGAAGCUUUCCUAAACACAUAGCAGUGACGUCCUAAAAGAAUGGUAUCUAUAUUGAUUAGGAAUAUAGCAAAAUAGUAAAAUAAUUUUUAAACGAAUACUUGAGAUCCUAUAGAUAUGCUUUCUAGAAGUACUAAUUUUAAGGUAGUGACUAAAACUUAUUAAAGAAACGAACAGAUUAAUUACUUAAGCCGAUUCAGAAUAUAUAAACAUGAAUUCGAACUGAUUUAUUUAACUGAACUAUUUUUAAGUCCUAUUGACAUAAUCUCUAGUUAAGCAAAGUAAAAAACGAACAAUAUUCAUUAAACCAAAGUGAAAUCCUAAGGCAAGGUAUCUAUAGAGCUGAUCUUAACCCUAUACGCAUGAUCCCUAUUAUUAAAGUCAUUUUUAGGUCCUAUAGGUAUGAUUUCUAAUUGUGAAAGUAAAGCAAAUAUAGCAAACACAUUUGAAUAAACAUGUCCCUAUAGGCAUGGUAUCUACCUAAUUUACCCAACAUAUAUAUAACUACACACCCUUUUUCACUAAUUACCCCAAUGUUUGUUUACAAAAAUUAUUACAGACCAAUGAAUUAAAUCGAAAAUACAUAAUUAAAUGAUAGUUAAUCUAUAGGGAGCCUACAAUAGGUCCAAAUGACUUCCCAGUCUCCAAUAUUCU